GAUGAACGCUGGCGGCGUGCCUAAUACAUGCAAGUCGAGCGAACAGACGAGGAGCUUGCUCCUCUGACGUUAGCGGCGGACGGGUGAGUAACACGUGGAUAACCUACCUAUAAGACUGGGAUAACUUCGGGAAACCGGAGCUAAUCCCGGAUAAUAUAUUGAACCGCAUGGUUCAAUAGUGAAAGACGGUUUUGCUGUCACUUAUAGAUGGAUCCGCGCCGCAUUAGCUAGUUGGUAAGGUAACGGCUUACGAAGGCAACGAUGCGUAGCCGACCUGAGAGGGUGAUCGGCCACACUGGAACUGAGACACGGUCCAGACUCCUACGGGAGGCAGCAGUAGGGAAUCUUCCGCAAUGGGCGAAAGCCUGACGGAGCAACGCCGCGUGAGUGAUGAAGGUCUUCGGAUCGUAAAACUCUGUUAUUAGGGAAGAACAAAUGUGUAAGUAACUAUGCACGUCUUGACGGUACCUAAUCAGAAAGCCACGGCUAACUACGUG
rnacentral:rRNA from 1 species